GGGGAUUUAGCUUAGUGGUAGAGCACUUGCCUAGGAAGCGCAAGGCCCUGGGUUCGGUCCCCAGCUCCG
rfam:Rattus norvegicus chromosome 9, whole genome shotgun sequence.